GGGCUCCCCAUGCUCCUUUUACCACAGGCCGCGGCGGCUGCGCUACCAUGGCGACCGCGCGCGCACUUACAGCCCGUCUGCAGCAGUGAGGUGAUACGAGCCCCGGCGCCGGGCCAGCGCUGAGUCCCGCCAGCUGUGCCUGCCCGGGCCCUGAGGCCUGACUGCUGUGGAGGUCCUCUGUCACCCUGCCCUGGUUAAACGCAGCCCGAGGGAGGGCGUCCUGGCUCCUUUGCAGGGAGGAGUUCCCGAGGUUUGAGGGGCUCCGCUGUGAGCUAGGAACUGGGGCGACAAAGAAGAUUAUGACAAAGCCUCCUCCUGCAAAGUGUGCACCGGCCUGCGGGGCCAGCGCAGAAGCAGGUAGUAGCAUCAGCACCUGAUAAAGACGUAGGGCUUUGGGAACAUAAAGGGUGUUGUGCUCCCAAAGGGCGGGGCCCCCAGAGGGGCUUCUUGAAAUAGGUGAAGUCCGGAUGGUUCGAGGAGGCUGCCAGAGGGCAGAAGAGCUUGGUGCGUUCUGGGCAUGCGCAGAUUUUGAACAUUUGAACGUUUCUUCACAAUCAUGUCAAAAGACGUAAAAUCAGUAGAAUGUUCACCUAAAAUUCCUCAGAGAAAUGAUCCACAGCAUGUCAAUGAUAGAAGAUUUUUCAUUGAUGCCUCUAAUCAGAGCUUGACUGCCAUUCCGUUGGAGAUCUUCACAUUCACAGAAGUAGAAGAAGUGCAUUUGGAGAAUAAUCAGAUUGAAGAAAUUCCCCAGGAGAUUCAGUGUUUAAAGAAAAUAAGGGUCCUUUACCUGGACAAGAACAACUUGAGGAGCCUGUGCCCGGCUCUGGGGCUGCUGAGCAGCCUGGAGAGCCUGGACCUGAGCUACAACCCCAUCUUCUCCUCCUCCCUUCUCGUCGUCAGCUUCCUCCGCGCCCUGCGUGAGCUCCGGCUCUACCAGACCGACCUGAAGGAGAUUCCCGUCACCAUUUGUAAAAACCUCCACCACCUGGAGCUGCUCGGACUGACGGGGAACCACCUGAAAUGUCUGCCCAAGGAAAUAGUGAAUCAGACCAAGCUGAGGGAGAUCUACCUGAAGCGAAACCAACUUGAAGUUUUCCCCCAGGAGCUCUGCGUUCUCUACAACCUGGAGAUCAUUGACCUGGACGAGAACAAAAUCGGUGCCAUCCCAGAAGAAAUCGGGCACCUGACGCAGCUGCAGAAGUUCUUCUUGGCUUCUAACAACCUCCCCGUUCUGCCGGUGUCCCUGUGCCAAUGUAGCCAAUUGUCAGUGCUCGAUUUAUCCCAUAACCUUCUCCACUCCAUCCCGAACAGCCUCGCCGAGCUCAGGGAAAUGACGGAAAUCGGGCUGAGUGGGAACCGCCUGGAGAAGGUGCCGCACCUCAUCUGCAGAUGGACCUCGCUGCACCUGCUCUACCUGAGAAACACCGGCCUGCGCAGGCUGCGGGGCUCCUUCAGGCGCCUGGUCAACCUGCGCUGCCUGGACCUCAGCCAGAACCAUCUGGACCACUGCCCACCACAGAUCUGUGUGCUGAAGAACCUGGAAGUCCUGGCACUGGAUGACAAUAAAAUAGGGCAGAGUCUCAAGGAGCUAUAUAUAGAGAACAAUCGUCUGGAGUACCUGCCCAUGUCCCUGGGGUCAAUUCCUAACCUAGAAGUUCUUGAUUGCCGGCACAAUUCGCUUAAACAACUUCCAGAUGCCAUUUGCCAAGCACAAGCUUUGAAAGAAUUACUGCUGGAGGACAACUUGCUCACCCAUCUUCCAGAGAAUUUGGAUUCCCUAGUGAAUAUUAAGGUCCUGACACUGAUGGACAAUCCCAUGAAAGAACCCCCAAAAGAAGUGUGUGCUGAAGGCAAUGAGGCCAUAUGGAAAUACCUCAAGGAAAAAAGAAAAAGGAAUAUCAUGGCAACAAAGGAAAGCUCCCAGGACUACAGAGUGGAGCCUGGGAGAGAACAGGAGACAUGACCAGACAGAUCCACCCUUAGGAAUGAUUUUUCACUGCCUUGGGGGUAGAACAUAUACAUGGAAAAUGUACUUUCUCAAUGUGCAAACAAGCAUUCUGGCUGAGUGAAGAAGACAGAGUAUGGAUGAUAAGUAAGACCCUCCUGAUGAGAGAAGAUGCAGAAAUCCUUCCAGAGAAGAAAUGACUCUGGGAGAGGGAAAAGGGCACAAAUAUCAGAACAACAGUGCAGACUCUCUCCUGGACCAGGAUUUCGAAGAAGAAAAUAAGAUUCUGUCAAGCCUGUGUUCAAUCAAAAUAUCCUCCCCUACGUAGCCUCUACCCCAUCACAGGAUACGCAGAUUUAGUCCCUCUGUUACAUGUGAACCAUGGUCUGCUGUGGCUCUCCGUCAUUUGCCUUAAAAUAGAGUUGCUCCUGGAGCUUUGCAGAAUGGGCGUGCCUCACCAUCAGUCACACACUUAUGAACAUCUGUGACCUGUAAUGCCUUUACCAGGGGCUCAUCUCAAGAAGGACAGACAGACCAAGGCGCUGGAGACCCAGGUAUAAAGUUCCAGAGAUGACGUCAAGGUGGCUAGUCAAAAACACAGCCAUUGUUGAGAUGAGGCCAGCCCGAGAUCCAGUUGGACUGGGACCCAAGACAGCCACCAGAACCAGACGCACGGACACGGCACUCGGCACCACUGUUGCAUGCCUUCCUUACCAAGUUUUCCUGUUUGAAACCCCUGCCUCCCCGCCCAACACCACAAAAUUGAAGUGGUUGUUUUGGACGGGAAUCCAGCCACUUCCCCUUUACUAAUCUUGGUUAGUAAAAUUCACUUUCUUUCUACCAGACCUUACCCCCCACCUUUUUUUUUUUUUGAGACAAGGUCUCCCUCUGUCACCCAGGCUGGAGUGUAUGUAGUAGCGUGAUCUCAGCCCACUGCAACCAACCUCCACCUUUCUGGCUCAAGUAAUGCUCUCGCCUCAGCCUCCCAAGUAACUGAGACUACUGACAUGUGCCACCACACCCAGCUAAUUUUUGUUGUUGUUAUUUUUCUGUUUUUGUUUUGUUUUAUUUUGUUUUGUUUUGUUUUGUUUUUGAGACAGAGUCUCACACUGUUGCCCAGGCUGGAAUGCAAUGGCACGAUCUCGGCUCACUGCAACCUCUGCCUCCUGGAUUCAAGCGUUUCUCCUGCCUCAGCCUCCCAAGAAGCUUGGAUUACAGGUGCCCACUACCAUGCCCAGCUAAUUUUUUGUAUUUUUAGUAGAGACAGUUUCACUAUGUUGGCCAGGCUGGCCUUGAACUCUUGUCCUCAUGAUUUACCUGCUUCAGCCUCACAAAGUGCUGGGAUUACAGGUGUGAGCCACUGCACCCUGCCUAAUUUUUGUAUUUUUUGUAGAGAUGAGAUUUUGCUAUGUUGCCCAGGCUGGUCUUGAACUCCUGAGCUCAAAUCUUCUGCUCACCUUGGCCUCCCAGAGCACUGGGAUUACAGGCGUGAGCCACUGCGACUGGCCUACCAGACCUUACUGUUGUUCACUGGACUGCAAUCAGGGAGCAUCUGAACCUACAUUCCAUUACAGUAACACUACCAGGGAUUCCAGAGAUUCUACGUCUUCCAGAAGUCCAGCAUUUGGAUUAAUAUUAGAAUCCUACUGCAUGCCAGCUGUCUUUCAUGUCCCUUCUCACAUUCUCAAAGCCCACCUUUUGCUCUGCGGUAUACGGGAUGAGAUGACCAGCUGAAACAACCAGCUUUGCUCAGGUGUAAGCCACCAGCAGGCUCCGCUGAACCCAGGACGGCUCCUCCCUGCCGGAGCUGGUCUGCUGCCACCCGGAGGGAAGCUCAAGGGAGCUGCCCAAACAUUUGACUCUGAGUGCAGGCCCGGAAGUGCCAGGCAGUUAGCAUCCCUAGGCCAGACCUUGACCAAUGGGAGACUUGGGGGUUGUGCAGCAGAUACAUGCUCCCCUCUUCUGUACUUUGGGCUGACAAUUGUGAGGGCUUUUUACACAUUUUCUCAUGGGACCCCCAAAGAACAUGAACCACCACUGCCCAUUAGGAGUGACCCCCUUUCUAACACAUUUCCUGAGCUGGCUUUUCCUCCUGUUUCAUUCUUCCCUGUCCCCAAAUAAACAAGUCUUCAAGCCCAAAUGAAGACAUUUUCUCCCCAAAGAAAACUGUUUAAACUUUUUCUUUUGAGACGGAGUUUCACUCUUGUUACCCAGGCUGGAGUGCAAUGGCGCGAUCUCGGCUCACCGCAACCUCCGCCUCCUGGGUUCAGGCAAUUCUCCUGCCUCAGCCUCCUGAGUAGCUGGGAUUACAGGCACAUGCCACCAUGCCCAGCUAAUUUUUUGUAUUUUUAGUAGAGACGGGGUUUCACCAUGUUGACCAGGAUGGUCUCGAUCUCUUGACCUUGUGAUCCACCCGCCUCGGCCUCCCAAAGUGCCAGGAUUACAGGCUUGAGCCACCGCGCCCCGCCUUCUUUUCUUUUACUUUCUUCAUUAAAGCACUUACCCUUUGUUUCAGGGUUAAUUAUUGAGUGAAGAAAAGGCUAAUUCUAGUUCUGUACACAUUAGUCACAUAUAUCUUCUGCACUAAAUUAAUGGGAUGAAAUUAAUCAUGAUUGAAUGGAAACAGAAGAAAUACAGAAUAACUCGUGGAGUGUGAGAAAGGAGAGAUUUUGCUCUGGUUUUUAAUACAUUUUAUUUUUUCCGCACUGGGAAAAUACGCAGUUAACCACAAGAACCAAUGCGCAAUCAAAACCUACUGAGUUUUUUGUUUCUUAACCAGGAUUUAUGUAAUUUGUAUAUUAAAUGAAGCUAGAAUUUUCUGGCAGUGCGGCCACCACCAACUCCCAAAUUCUGGCUAGAAGCGUAUCAUUUACACACAAUAGUGAGUUUCUGCUACUUAAUUACAUUAAAUUAAUGCAGUGGUUUUGAGCUUGAGGGAAGACCGUGUUCUGCCCGGAAAGGCCUUUAAUGACUGUGUUUGACCAGGAAAACAGUGGAAACUGUGUUGCCAUUCAAGAAAAAAUGUGGUCAGGGGCGGUAUCAUUUAUUACUAAAGCAGUUCUAAGUGUUUGAUUUAGUGGGUUGAUUUUCAGAGCAGUCUGUGUCUUAAUAAAGAUUUUUUAAACCUAGUAUUGAUACAUUCUUUAAGGCUUGGGAAACAAAUACUAAUUAAACAUACAAUGAUCCUUGUCAUCUUUGGCAUAUAUCCAUUUUUUUCAGCUUAACAUUUUUGAGG